AACGCCGCGGGGUGGGGGGCCACGUGCUUCCGGCGUGACCUACCGACCGGAAGUGGCCUGAGUCGGGUGGGAUAGGGUGGCGCCGCUAGGCCGGGAGGGCGGAGGCCCUGAGCCCCAGCCUCCCACCUCGGGGCCACAUUGGGAACCUUAUCAACAGCAUCGACACCUCCUCUGAUGGCCCCAGCCACAAUCUCUUCCACUUCCAGCUACUUGAGUCACUUCUGAGGCUCAACUGGGAGACCCCUCACACACAGGUGAAGGUGUGGCCGUGGCACCUCAGACCUCCUGGUCUCCUCAGGAAUGAAGGUCAUUGCCAUCCUCCUCCUCCUCCUCUCGUGAUUGGCAGCCCCCACCCACAGCAGCUUCUGGCAGUGUCAGAGGAUGGUCAAACACAUCACGGGGUGGAGUGCCUUCUUCUCCUAUUACAGAUAUGGCUGCUACUGUGGGCUUGGGAGCAAAGGGAUCCCUGUGGAUGACACUGACAGGUGGGUGCAGAGGCUCUGAGGCCACCUAUCAUUUCUUUUGCAUUAAAGUUCAUGCUCGAAGCCAGAGAGAGGGUUUUAGGAACAGAAAAUGACUCAGGCUAAUGGAAGGAAUAACUGAAGGGGACUCUGAGGAUGGGUCUUGAGAAACCCAGUGUCAGGGCCAGCUUCUUGAGUGUGUGUGUGACCUGUAAAGUUUUGCAGGGGCUGGCACUCCUAAGGGCCUAAAUGUGGUUUACUGCUCUGCUGCCACCAUCUUGAAAUUCUUAAUAAAGGGCCCCAUGCUUUCAUUUUGCUUUGGCCUCUGCAAUUAUGCCGUCGGUCCUGCCCGGAGCUCUGGAAGCUGUUUCAUCCUCAUAGUAAAAGUGCUCUGCUUUCAGCCCUCCAGCUUUUAGGACUAUAGGCACAGCACAACUGACUCACUAGGCCUAAUUCCAUAUUCUGGGAGACAGAACCCAAGUGCCCCACUUCGGAGAGGUUGUCCAUCUGGGCGAGGUUGCAUGGCACAAACCUGGCUUCCAGGCCUACUCUAAAGGAUGGGGGUGGGGGAGUGUGAGUUCCUAGAAAAAGUAGAGGUGGGUGUCUCCUGGUGAGUAUAUGUGUGGGGAGGUAGGAAACAGGACAGUUUGCAUGUCAUUUCAUUUGAAGAAAUAAGAAAGUGAAAUGUUCCUUGCCACAUUUAACCUAGUGUGGAGAAAUAUAUAUGUCCCCACAGUGGGGCCUUAAAUAUCACUCCUGGAACUCAAGUCUCGUGGGUUGGGCUCAUGGAACCAUGGAAGGACCUCAGAGCUCUGGAAGGGCAACUGACACUUAUGAAAUGCCCAUUAUGUGCCAAGCA
rnacentral:lncRNA from 1 species